UGAGGGGUCAGAAUGGACAGGCCCGAAGGGGUAUGAGGAUGGUUAAGAGUAUUAAUUGGGGGCCAGGGAUUUAGCUCAGUGGGUCCACCGCCUGCCUCACAAACACAAGGUUCCGAGUUUGAUCCCCAGUACCAAAAAAAAAAGUAUUAUUUGGUCUCUGUCCAUGGAUGAAUUAGGAGCCAAUGAAGUUAGCAAUCUUGAGGCUUCCUCCAGCCUCUCUUGACUUGAGAAAUGAAGAGGAAGGCCAGCCAGGAGUGAGGGAAUGGUUCCCCCUUGGACCAAACAGGCCCAUAUCUGCUGAGAGGAAACUCCUGUGGUACCAGAACUGUCCUGGACAGGUAUCAAUGAUGGCAGCAGCAUUUCCUGACUUCUGUACACACUGUUCAUCCUUUGCAGUGUCAUGGUCACACACCUGUUGUCUGUAUGUGUGGCUCCACGUUGGUCCAUGUUUUCUUCACCAAUACCUCACUGUCUGGACCACUAUGGCUUUGGAAUAUAUCGUGUGCCCUGGGAGGUGGUUUCCCAUCUUGUUCUCAAGAUUGAUCUGUCCUUGUCCCUGUUACCUCCAAAGUCAAUUAUAGAAGUAAUUUAAGCUCCAUGAAAACUUCAGUGUAUACAUCAUUAAAAUGUACUUGAAAUUUUAUAUGAAGUGGAGAUAACUAGUAACC
rnacentral:lncRNA from 1 species